rnacentral:rRNA from 1 species
GUGCCAGCAGCCGCGGUAAUACGUAGGAGGCGAGCGUUGUCCGGAGUUACUGGGCGUAAAGGGUGCGCAGGCGGCGGUUCGCGUGGCGAGAUGAAAUCUCCUGGCUUACCUGGGAGGAUGGUCGCCAGACGGGAUCGCUUGAGGGUCGGAGAGGGGCGUGGAAUUCCGGGUGGAGCGGUGAAAUGCGUAGAGAUCCGGAGGAACACCGACGGCGUAGGCAGCGCCCUGGACGACACCUGACGCUGAGGCACGAAAGCUGGGGGAGCGAACAGGAUUAGAUACCCCAGUAGUCC